AACCGUAAGGGCUAGAAACUCAACUGGGGUAGGGGGAGAGGAAGCGCAAGCAAUCUUAUAAUUUGUGUAAAUGUCUGGCUUAUUCCACAACAUUUGUGAAUGGAGUUUUCAAGCCCUGCUUGCUCAGCGGUACUGGGCUGGUGGGAUAGGGAGACAGGCACUGAGUAUUACACUGGCAGAAGAGGUUACAUCCUUCCCGCCAUUGCUUUGAGGGAAGGUCAUGGACUACGGCCAAGAUGUUCAAAAGUGACUUUGGGAGCCAGACCUGACACCUUAAAGGGGCCUGAUUUUAAGGGGGAGAAGUCCAUUUAAAGACAUUUGGGCACCUAACUCCCAUUGAUCUCAAUGGGAACUGGGCAUCUAAAUACCUUUGAGGAUCUGAGGUCGAGUGCUUAGCACUUUCCCUUUGAUGCCUCUCCAGCUGGGUGCCCACCUAUGGAAGUAUCCCCUAUUACUGCUUCGGUAAAGGGACCACUCAGUGCACUAGCUUGAUCAUGGUAGCUGAAGCCCCUGAAUCUAUUUCCAUUUGUAGUGACAGUUUAACUCCACCGUUACUUCGUAAGGUCCCCUGAGACAGCAUAUACUGUGCCCCCUCCCUCUGUAUCUUUCUUCCCCUCAAGGGAAAGGCCCUCUGCUGUCUUCCUUUUUCUUUUUUUUUUUAAUUUUUCCUGGGGGGCAGGUCACCCUCCUGGCUUGAGAUGCUCUUUGAUGGUCACCGUUGCAUUUUCUAGCUCCGUGUCCCACCCUGAGGCAUUGAAGCACAAUGAACUCCGCCUCAGCAGCCACAAACACUCCUCAGGAGUCCCAUUCCCUUGCCGCUGGCUUUGCACUUGGUUGCGUGAGUCAGGUGCUGGGCUCUGCACUCGAAGAGCAAGUCUGGAAAAUAGCUGGGUCCAGGCAGUCAGCACACUUGGACCCUGAUCCAGCAAGGAGCUAAAGAAGGUGUCCGCUUAAGUGAGGACAGAAUGAAAACUAAGGAAGAGUUUCAGGACUGAUGGAAAGAAGGAAAGAUGGCAA